rnacentral:tmRNA from 1 species
GCACCUAUACAUCAUUGGUGUAUGCGGAAUUUCUCGCGAACUUGAAGGCGAAAGGCGUUUUGGACGGGGGUUCGAUUCCCCCCACCUCCACCAAAUGGGGGAAAGGCAAGCGAUCACCUUUUCCCCAUCUGAUGGGGGUGACCUGGUUUCGACAAGGCGGCAAGUAACCGGAGACACACCACGUCAGGCGACCGACGUAAAUAGCGCAAAACCAUAAUUGCAAACGAUUCGCAAUUUCUUGCUUACGGCACCUAAAAGCCGCUAAGCCGAGUAACCGGCUCCUUCGCAAGAAGGCUUGGGAACAGAAAAGCCGGACGAACUCUGUCGUUA